GAUGAACGCUGGCGGCGUGCCUAACACAUGCAAGUCGAACGGAGAUUCCGGACGGACGUUUUCGGAUGGAAGCCUGUAAUUCUUAGUGGCGGACGGGUGAGUAACGCGUGGGCAACCUGCCCUAUACAGGGGGAUAGCAGCUGGAAACGGCUGGUAAGACCGCAUAAGUCGGUUAAAUCGCAUGAUUUGAUCGGGAAAUGAGCAAUCAGGUAUAGGAUGGGCCCGCGUCGGAUUAGCCAGUUGGCAGGGUAAAAGCCUACCAAAGCGACGAUCGAUAGCCGACAUGCGAGGGAGAUCGGCCACACGGGAAGUGAGAAACGGUCCAGACUACUACGGGAGGCAGAAGUAGGGACUCUUCCGCAAUGGGGGAAGUGCUGAAGGAGCAAAGGCGAGUGAGUGAUGAAGGUCUUCGGAUCGUAAAACUCUGUUAUUAGGGAAGAAGAUAUGUGUAAGUAACACUGCACAUCUUGACGGUACCUAAUCAGAAAGCCACGGCUAACUACGUG
rnacentral:rRNA from 1 species